UGGGUUGCACCGCACGUCGACGUGGGCGGGCGCUCGCGGCGGGGCUGGGCUCAUCUCCGCCACACCCUCCCAUCCGGGUCUCCUCCUGCGGUGCCCCAAAAAAUGGCGCCAAUCCCUCCCCAAUCUCCCCCCCCCCCCCCCCCCCCCCCUUUCCCCCCCCCCCCCCCCCCCCCCCCCCCGGCGGGGCAAACCCUAACCCCAUGUCCUCCUCCUCCUCGCUGCCCGCCAAGCCGCCCCCGCCGCCGCGCCCCAAGACGCGGGGCAGCUACAACUGCGGCCGAUGCGGCCAGCCCAAGAAGGGCCACGUCUGCAACCUCCCCUCCCCGGCCGCCGCCGACGGCGCCGCGCCCCCCUCCCCGUCGCCCUCCUCCUCCGCCGGGGACACCCGCCUCCGCCGCGCCCUCUCCUUCGACGACGCCCCCGCGCCCUCCUCCCCCGAGAAGAAGCCCAGGCCCGACCAUGACUUUGCCGGCCGCACCAUGGAGCUGGGCGGCCGGGCCGUGCCGGUCGACCUCGUCGUCGAGGUCCUGCGCCGGCUCGGCCCCAGGGGGGUACUGGACGCCGCCGCCGUCAGCCGCGCCUGGCGCGACUGCGCCGACCGGGUCUGGCGCGUCGCCGAGGAGCUCCGCCUCCGCCCGGCCGCCGCCGGCCUCCUCGGCGCGCUGCUCCCCCGGUGCGCCGCGCUCUCGCGCCUAGUCCUCCACAUGGAAAGUGCUGUUGAUGCCACCAUGCUGUCAUGUCUUGCAUUUUCCUGUUCAAGUUUGGAAACUCUGGAGAUCACCAUGGCCGACAAGGCAAUCAACAAUAUGACUGGAGAGGAGCUAAGUCGACUUGUUUCAGAGAAGCGUUCUCUCUCAGUUCUCAAAAUCGGUGGUUGCUCUAAUCUUGGUUUUCUUAAUCUAAGCUCGUCAAGUCUUAGUGUCCUUUGGCUAUCAGAUCUUUGCUCCCUUUCAGAAUCGGUCAUAAGCUGCCCUAAUAUGAGCGAGCUCUCCCUGUGUUUCACACAACAAAGUACUGAAUGUACUGACCUGGUUAGUUUGAUGGAUGGCCUGGGCCGAUCGUGCCCUAACUUAAGAAAUUUGCACAUAUCAUCAAUUCAACUAUCUAAUGAAGCCGUGUCCGCUCUAGAGGGUGCCAACCUCAGGGGCUUGUGCAUGCUAUCCUUGAUUCUCGGUUCAAAAAUGACAGAUGCAGCUGUUGCAUCUAUCGUCAGAUCUUGUGCAAGCUUGGAAUUGCUUGAUUUAAGUGGAUCUAGCAUCAGUGAUAGUGGUGUUGGUAUGAUCUGCAAGGCGUUCCCUCAUACUUUAUCGAGGCUGCUCCUUGCUCUCUGCCCAAAUAUUACUACAUGUGGGAUCCAGGCCGCAACAGCACAAUUGCCACUACUUCAGCUCAUGGACUGUGGAAUGAGCUUACGUUCUAACUUGCAGAAUGAAAAACAGGGGGCUUAUUUUGGUGAGAUCAAUGGAAGGAUUAGAUUGUGCCCAAAAUUACCCACCUUAAAAAAGCAACCUAUGCGCCAAAAGCUAAUCAUAAAGCAUGAUAAUUUGAAGAAGCUCAGUCUAUGGGGCUGUUCAGCAAUAGAUGCUUUGUAUGUGAAAUGCCCAGAGUUGAUUGAUCUGAACCUCAACACUUGUACAAAUCUACACCCAGAGCGGCUGCUACUUCAGUGCCCAAAUCUGAAGAAUGUACAUGCAUUUGGAUGCCAAGAUAUGUUGAUUGGUGCAAUAAAAAACCAGGUCUACAGGCCCAAACAGCACACAUGAAGGAUACUACUAAAGCCCACCUGUAUACGAAAACCUAGGUACUCCCGUCAAUCUCCUGAUGGUUUUGAUUUCUUGCUCCUAUCAGGUUCUGAAUGAGUUCGCUGCAGCUGAACCACAUCUUCCAUGCAAGCGGCUAGCAGACGGUUCAAAACGGGUUCAGCUGUCACAGUUCCCACAAGAGCAGCUACCGGAGGACAAAAUAUGGAUUGGAUUCAAGCGGUCGGAGUGCAUUGUUCAUCUUGAUUCUUGAUUAAUAAUAACAAUCACAUAACCAUAGCUAGAGAACCGCUCAUUGUGCGCACUCUGAUUUGUGAAAUUAGACAAUUGGCGAGUAUUUAUUUAUUUGUUUUGUGCAUCUCCAAACCCAUAAUAUAUGUAAUGUGCCUGUUGUAUAAGCUGCUACAUGGAAGUGAAACUUGCAUCAACUGGUUUUUGGGUUCCCACUGGUGUGCUCCGCUUGGCCAAAUUAAUAUGUAACCAUAUUAUUUUUUGGUGCAAUAAAGUUGUGAAUCAUUUAAACUA